GAGGAGACUCUGAGGGAACUGCAUUAGCCUGUCAAAGAGUUUUGCCAAAGGACACAGGAAUGCCGAAAAGCAAAUUUGCAGACUUGUAUGACAGGCCAGAGACAGAGUGCGUUAUUGUGCAAGCCCAACUCUUAACGGCAUGCUAUUAACUUCAAAAACUAUUUCUACUAACUAUGAACUAAAUAAUCUCCGUUCCCUUUUUUAAGAAACAAUUUAUAGAACAUUUAGAAAAUAUAGAAUAUGCUAUUGAUAUUGAUAUUGUCAUCAACCUCAUAUUUUUUAAUUAGAACCUUUAGUGUUCUAAGUGUAUGGUGGCAAUUUCUGAUGACGGUAAAUGACUUUAUACAAAUAUAGCUUGCCUUGCUGCACCAUUUCAUUUAUUUGUUUGUGCAUAUUAUCAUGCAAGGCACAAUCAUAGGGUGGGGAAUGCAAGAUUUUUUUAGUAUUAAAUGGCUCAUGAACUAUUAAGCCACUUUAGCCAACGCUAUAAAUGUUCAGAAGAGGAACAGUGUCAGUGUUUCCAGAUUGGUUUGUUUUCCAGCCCAGUAGUUGUUUCAAAUCCACAUACAUUUAUAUAAUAAACCCAAAUAUUGUCUAUAAUAAAAUAAAAUCAUUGUGGCUCAUCUCUUGUUCAAGAUGAAAUAAAACAAUUAAUAUGUAUAAUUAAUAAUUAAUGCUGUCAUAACUUAUUAACUGGUUCAUAGAUUUUUUUAGAUGUUUUGCUGCUUUGAGCAAAACAUUCAUUAUUGACAAAUGUUUGUUUUUAUAAUUUUUUUCAGAAAUGUAAUUAUCAACAUUAACUUCUUGUUUGUGGAACUGUACAAAAAUCAGUAUCACAUAGGCUACAGAUAUUUUGAUAUUUUGAAGAUCUACAUUGUUUUGGUACUUAUCAAAUCAAGGAAUACACGCUUGAUAUGUCAGGGAAACAAUCAAACCAGAACCAAUCAUUUUAUUUUUGACAUAAAAAGAAGAUUUAUUAAAGAUGUCACUACUCUUGGAUUUAGUGAAAGAGAUACAUUGAGGUUAAUAUUACAUAUUUGCGUAAAGCAGUAUAAACUACAAAAAAGUUUAAUUGUGGGGCUGUAAUGACAUUGUCAGGAAAUCUUGUCAAUGUUAUAGUUAUGCAGUAAAAUGUGCUAGCCUGGUUAUCAUACUAAAUCUCUUUCUAGUUAUUGGUCUUGGCUAGGCUGUUUGAAACAGUUUGUUCUUCUGAGUGUGUUGUCAAUGGCCAGCCAGCUUGUUUCUUUUAAUCUGCUUCUAAGCAUUUCUAUUUGCUGUCAUCAUCUACAUUACACAUUAUGGGCAGAUAACCAGCAGUAAUUGGACUGUCCUUGUUAGGGUUUGGGAAAUAAAAAGUGUACAAGUCUUUUUCUUUAUAUGUCAAGCCGUGCGCUUGCACCAUUUCAGGCUGGUAACCAGGCUAAAAAUGUGCCGCUAUAGCCUUGGGACAAGUUGGAAAUUUGAAUGUCAUAAAUGUUGAUUUGUGUUGUUUUUAUUCUCUACAGCUGAUCACAUUCAGAACACUGAUCCUCCCUUCAAAGCUCCUGACACUAACUGUGCUCUUUGCUCCAGAGACUGUUGGUGUGUACUUCGUUGUGUUUUCAUUAGCCAUUGUAUCUACAUACAUACACAGCCAAAGCCCCUCAAUGGUAACCUACUUUUGGUACACUAAUGGUUAAUAUUCUAAAAUACAAUGAAGGAAAUUAUUGUUUUUGAAACUUUAUUACAAGAUCUCCAGCACUCACUGAGUGAAUCCUCAGGUGAUGAGACCUCACCUCCUCUAGCCUCUUCGAACUAGAGCACAUGACAAAGUCUCUUUUCAGAGAGGUGGAGGGCAGAGAGACCCUGUCUGGCACAAAAAAAAACUGCCAAAAGUGUGUGAGAAAUCCAGCUACUGUCUGAUGUGACUGUCGACCACGUCCCUUCUUCUGUGCUGAAAGUGACAUCAGCAUCCACUACAGAGAUGCCAUGACUGCUGGAUUCUUCCAGCCAUUGCCUCCGACAACUUUCAUGUAAUGGUGGAUAAGGCUCUUUCCCAUUGCGUGCAGUUUGUACCCGUGGAGAUGCCUGACAAAAUCUGUGAUUGUUCAGAGUCAUUGAGGGUCAGUCCAGAAAAGACUGAAUGAUUUUCCUGUCUGCUGAGAUACGACCAUGGACCAUUGGCUGAACGUCGGAUAUGGAACUCUAAUUGGAAACUCUUCGGGAUUUUCAAGGUGGUCAUCUGAUUGGUCGAUGUCCGGGAGAUGUGUUUGUUGGGUUCUUUUGCUGUCCGCCUGGAAACAAAGUCUUUGUAACGCCAAACCCCCUUGUGGUAGAAGAAAGCGGCAUUGAGCGCUUACCAGGCUGAACUGUUGCAGUAAACUUGUUCUUGAAUGAAUCAUUUAUUUGAUGCAUGCCAGUCUGUUAUCGUAGGGACAUCGAAUUUACAUUUUACAUGACGCAUAACUAAACGAAAUGUGAUUGGUUGCGAUACAUGUCAGUCAAACGUCCUCUUUGGCGAUCCUUGGCCAAGGAAAGCUGCGAUGGAGUCCAGACCUUCUGGUUCUGCAGAAUUUAUCUGACUGUCUCCGGUGCGUUUGGACAGGGCAUCGGCUCUGACGUGGUGGCAAGGACAGCUGAAGACUCUGGUGUGGCGGCCAUGUUGUAUAGAGGCUCUGGCGUGGUGGCCAUGACAGCUGGCUUCUGGUUUCCGUGGCAUGGUCUUGAUCUUUUGCCGGUCUCCCUGGAUUUCCCUGUUUGUAUUUGCCUUGGAGUUUUGUUAUGCAUGGUUUAUUCUGUGGUUUUGACCUUUUGCCUGUUUUAUGGAUUACACUCAAAGCUGCAUUUGGAUCUGGAUGCAUGUAACACCUAAAAUUCACAUUCUCAACAUUUUUUUUCUUUCAAAUUUUAGAAAAAGUUAAAGAUUUUUGUAAUUGCGGAGUCAAUUCUUUAAUUUGUAAUUAACACAAUGAAACAUGCCAAAUUUGCAGACAAGGCUAAUCUUUGCCCAGGCUGUCAUCGAAAUUAUGAUUUCAUGCAAACAAAGAGAACCAACAAAAUAUCAAUAACUGAUUAUGUUGUUGUUAAUGUGUGCUUUGUUUGUGAGUCUUGUUUUUCCAUGCAGAUUUUUCUUAAAUGGUAAAAUAAAACCCUAUGGUUUGCCCUUUG